UUGGGAAAAACUCACAAAAUGUAUUACCCACUACCGGAGUAUAAACUGCAAAAUGUUCAGGUGGCAUCAUUAAAUCGCCAAAAAUCACAUCUUCAUUGAAAACUUUAAAAUGUCACAGAAUUAAAACAGGAUGUACCACUUCGUAAGAAUGUCCAAAGUUCUCACAAACUUCGCAGAAGUGGUGGUGUGAGUUUCCGGUAACUCACAUCACUUAAUGAUUGUUGAAGAGACCGGAAUACAGGGAAGAUGUGUUGUGGAAGUUUAUUUAAAAGAACACCUUAGCAAAUUUUUCAUUUCAAAUAAAAUAGUGUUUCACAGUUGGUUCUUGCACUUGUAUCGAAAUAAUCUGUAGUAAAUAGUUUCCGAAACGUUCUUUGGAAUUCUAUUGGUGUGGGAUUUAUACAAUUCCCAAAUUGACGCCUCACAGAGCCAAAGAAAUAUGUCAAACAAUACUGAUUUAGUUGCAGCAACCUUUUAGUGAAAAUUGUAAACAAAUUGUAUUCUGUGAAAACUAUUAAAAAUAAUAAGCAAAAUGUUUAUGUUCCUGAA